rnacentral:lncRNA from 1 species
UUUUGGGGGGGGAUGAAGAAAAUUAGAAAGAAAAUCUCUAGGUCUUACUUCUAAUUUUAGGUUGAAAGAAGAACAAUUAAGGAGAAAAGAUGAGUUGGGAAUAGUAUUCAAUAAGACUCAAGAAGAAGAAAAAGGUAGUUGGCAAGACCAGAUCAGCUUUCUUGCCAGAGACACCAAAGUGGUUUGCCAUUUUCUUCUCCAGCUCAUUUGACAGAUGAAGAAACUGAGGCUGACAAGGUUAAGUGACUUGCCCUGGGUCUGUGUAAGUUCCUGAGACUGGAUUUUAACUCAGGAAUAUGAAUCUUUCUGACUCCACUCCAUUAAGGAUGGUACCAAGGGGUAAAUCGAACACCAAUGGAAAGAAAUUGGAAGGAGAGGGACAAAGGGCUAAGAGCUUAGUUUCUUCUCCAG